rnacentral:tRNA from 1 species
ACCUGGCUGGCUCAGUUGGUGGAGCACGCAACUCCCGAUCUUGGGGUCAUGCGUUCAAGUCCCAUGUUAGGUG